GAUGAAGAACGUAGCGAAAUGCGAUAAGUAGUGUGAAUUGCAGAAUUCCGUGAAUCAUCGAAUCUUUGAACGCACAUUGCGCCUCCUGGUAGUCCGGGAGGCAUGCCUGUUCGAGCGUCACCAAAUCCAACUCAAGCGGUUUUGCGCUUGGUCGUGGCGGAAGAGUCGGUCUGGUUGCCGUCUCCCCUCCGAAAAUCAACGGCGGAAAGUCACUGGCAGUCAGCGUAGUAGUAUCGUUCGCCGAACAUCCAGUGGCAUUCCUGCCGACGUACCCCCACAAUUCUCGUGAUUGACCUCGGAUCAGGUAGGGAUACCCGCUGAACUUAAGCAUAUCAAUAAGCGGAGG
rnacentral:misc_RNA from 1 species